CUCAGAGGGUGCGCUAACGCAUUAAAUCAGCAGCCUAAAGACUACGGCCGCAAGGCUAAAAUUUAAAGGAAUUGACGGGAGACUACACAAGCGGUGGAGCAUGUGGUUUAAUUCGAAGCAACGCGCAGAACCUUACCAAUCCUUGCAAUAGUCAGAAAGCAGUUGUAAUGAUUUGCUUUUUCAGACUACAGGCGCUGCAUGGCUGUCGUCAGUUCGUGGCGUGAGCAGUUUGAUUAAUUUCAAGAACGAGCGAAACCCUCUUUUGGAGUGCAUUAAAUAAGCCUUCAGAGACUGCCAGUCAAAAACGGGAGGAAGGAGAGGAUGAAGUCAAGUCCGCAUGGCCCUUAUGGGUUGGGCUACACACGUGCUACAAUGGCGAGGUCAAAGGGAAGCAAUAUGGCGACAUGGAGCAAAUCCUCAACUCUCGUCUCAGUCCGGAUUGUUCUCUGCAACUCGAGAACAUGAAGUUGGAAUCGCUAGUAAUCGUAAAUCAGCACGUUACGGUGAAUCUGUAUCUAGUCUUUGUACACACCGCCC
rnacentral:rRNA from 11 species